rnacentral:rRNA from 1 species
GUGGGGAAUAUUGGACAAUGGGCGAAAGCCUGAUCCAGCCAUGCCGCGUGUGUGAAGAAGGUCUUCGGAUUGUAAAGCACUUUAAGUUGGGAGGAAGGGCAGUAAGUUAAUACCUUGCUGUUUUGACGUUACCGACAGAAUAAGCACCGGCUAACUUCGUGCCAGCAGCCGCGGUAAUACGAAGGGUGCAAGCGUUAAUCGGAAUUACUGGGCGUAAAGCGCGCGUAGGUGGUUCAGCAAGUUGAAGGUGAAAUCCCCGGGCUCAAACUGGGAACUGACUCCAAAACUACUGAGCUAGAGUACGGUAGAGGGUAGUGGAAUUACCUGUGUAGCGGUGAAAUGCGUAGAUAUAGGGAGGAACACCAGUGGCGAAGGCGACUACCUGGACUGAUACUGACACUGAGGUGCGAAAGCGUGGGGAGCAAACAGGAUUAGAAACCCCUGUAGUCC